AACGAACGCUGGCGGCAUGCCUAACACAUGCAAGUCGAACGAGACCUCCGGGUCUAGUGGCGCACGGGUGCGUACCGCGUGGGAACCUGCCCUUAGGUUCGGAAUAACUCCCCGUAAGGGGUCCUAAUACCGGAUAAUGUCAUCGGACCAAAGAUUUAUCGCUUUUGGAUGGGGCCGCGUUGGAUUAGCCGGUUGGUAGUGUAAAAGCCUACCAUGGCGAGGAUGCAGGGCUGGUCUGAGAGGAGGACCAAGUACACUGGGACUGAGGCCCGGCCUAGCAUGGGAGGGGAGGGAGGAGUAGGGAGUAUUAGGCGAUGGGCGAAGGUGUGAUACAGCAAUGCGGGGUGAGUGAUGAAGGCGUUAGUGUUGUAAAUCUCUUUUAGACGGGAUGAGAAUGACAGUACCGGGAGAAUAAGCUCCGGCUAACUCCGUG
rnacentral:rRNA from 1 species